rnacentral:rRNA from 1 species
GAAACUACAAAGGAAUUGACGGGGCCCGCACAAGCGGUGGAGCAUGUGGUUUAAUUCGAUGAUACGCGAGGAACCUUACCUGGGCUCGAACGUAAGAUGACUGUAGGUGAAAGCUUACAUCUCUUCGGAGCAUUUUACGAGGUGCUGCAUGGUUGUCGUCAGCUCGUGCCGUGAGGUGUCGGGUUAAGUCCCAUAACGAGCGCAACCCCUACCUUUAGUUGCCAUCAGGUUAAGCUGGGGACUCUAAAGGAACUGCCUACGCAAGUAGUGAGGAAGGCGGGGAUGACGUCAAAUCAGCACGGCCCUUACGUCCAGGGCUACACACGUGCUACAAUGGCCGAUACAGAGGGCAGCUACCUGGUGACAGGAUGCAAAUCUCCAAAGUCGGUCUCAGUUCGGAUCGGAGUCUGCAACCCGACUCCGUGAAGUUGGAUUCGCUAGUAAUCGCGCAUCAGCCAUGGCGCGGUGAAUACGUUCCCGGGCCUU